GACGAACGCUGGCGGCGUGCUUAACACAUGCAAGUCGAACGGAAAGGCGCUGCUUUUGUGGCUUUCUCGAGUGGCGAAGGGGGGAGUAACACAUGAGUAACCUGCCCCUGACAUUCGGAUAACUUCAGGAAACUCGGGCUAAUACCUGAUAGGAGCUUCUGCUGCAUGGGGGGGGAUGGUAAGUUUCGGCGGUUGUGGAUGGUCUCGCGGCUUAUCAGCUGGUUGGUGGGGUCGUGGACUAACCAGGCUGUGACGGGUAGGCCGCCUGAGAGAGUGGCCUGCCACACGGCGUCUGAGGGACGGCCCAGACGCCUAUGAGAAGCAACAGUGGAAAGUAUUGCAGAAUGGGCGGAAGCGAGAUGUAGCGGCGUCGCGUGCGGAAUGACGGCCUUCGGGUGGUAAACCGCUUUCGACGGUGGCGAAGCGAGAGUGACGGUAAUGGGUAAAGAAGCACCGGCUAACUACGUG
rnacentral:rRNA from 1 species